AUUGAACGCUGGCGGCAUGCCUAACACAUGCAAGUCGAGCGGAUGAAGGCAGCUUGCUCCUGGCUUCAGCGGCGGACGGGUGAGUAAUACCUAGGAGUCUCCCUUGUUGUGGGGGAUAACGUCCGGAAAGGGGCGCUAAUACCACACACGCCCUGGAGGAGAACGGGGGGGAGCUUCGGACCUCACGCUUUCAGCUGAGCCUAUGUCGGAUUAGCUAGUUGGUGGGGUAAAGGCCUACCAAGACGACGAUCCGUAGCUGGUCUGAGAGGAUGAUCAGACACACUGGAACUGAGACACGGUCCAGACUCCUACGGGAGGCAGCAGUGGGGAAUAUUGGACAAUGGGCGAAAGCCUGAUCCAGCAAUGCCGCGUGUGUGAAGAAGGUCUUCGGAUUGUAAAGCACUUUUAGUUGGGAGGAAGCGGAGUAAGUUAAUACCUGGCUGUUUUGACGGUACCGAAAGAAUAAGCACCGGCUAACUACGUG
rnacentral:rRNA from 1 species